GCUUUAGAAAGACGAGAAGACCCUAGAACCUGUUCUAUUCAUAUAGUUUGUUGGGGUGACAUUAUUCAAAACAAAUAACUAUUAAAACUAAUUAAUUGACUCCAUCUAUCUUUAUUAAAAUAAAAAAAGGUACUCUAGGGAUAACAGCAUAAUCUUCUUAUAGAGCCCUAAUCGACAAGAAAGAUUUUGACCUCGAUGUUGAAUUGAUAUUUCUUUCUAAAGCAGAAUUUUUUAAAGAGGGUCUGUUCGACCUCUAACUUAUCACGUGAUCUGAGUUCAAAC
rnacentral:rRNA from 1 species